rnacentral:rRNA from 1 species
UCACUUAUAGAUGGAUCCGCGCUGCAUUAGCUAGUUGGUAAGGUAACGGCUUACCAAGGCAACGAUGCAUAGCCGACCUGAGAGGGUGAUCGGCCACACUGGAACUGAGACACGGUCCAGACUCCUACGGGAGGCAGCAGUAGGGAAUCUUCCGCAAUGGGCGAAAGCCUGACGGAGCAACGCCGCGUGAGUGAUGAAGGUCUUCGGAUCGUAAAACUCUGUUAUUAGGGAAGAACAUAUGUGUAAGUAACUGUGCACAUCUUGACGGUACCUAAUCAGAAAGCCACGGCUAACUACGUGCCAGCAGCCGCGGUAAUACGUAGGUGGCAAGCGUUAUCCGGAAUUAUUGGGCGUAAAGCGCGCGUAGGCGGUUUUUUAAGUCUGAUGUGAAAGCCCACGGCUCAACCGUGGAGGGUCAUUGGAAACUGGAAAACUUGAGUGCAGAAGAGGAAAGUGGAAUUCCAUGUGUAGCGGUGAAAUGCGCAGAGAUAUGGAGGAACACCAGUGGCGAAGGCGACUUUCUGGUCUGUAACUGACGCUGAUGUGCGAAAGCGUGGGGAUCAAACAGGAUUAGAUACCCUGGUAGUCCACGCCGUAAACGAUGAGUGCUAAGUGUUAGGGGGGUUUCCGCCCCUUAGUGCUGCAGCUAACGCAUUAAGCACUCCGCCUGGGGAGUACGACCGCAAGGUUGAAACUCAAAGGAAUUGACGGGGACCCGCACAAGCGGUGGAGCAUGUGGUUUAAUUCGAAGCAACGCGAAGAACCUUACCAAAUCUUGACAUCCUUUGACAACUCUAGAGAUAGAGCCUUCCCCUUCGGGGGACAAAGUGACAGGUGGUGCAUGGUUGUCGUCAGCUCGUGUCGUGAGAUGUUGGGUUAAGUCCCGCAACGAGCGCAACCCUUAAGCUUAGUUGCCAUCAUUAAGUUGGGCACUCUAAGUUGACUGCCGGUGACAAACCGGAGGAAGGUGGGGAUGACGUCAAAUCAUCAUGCCCCUUAUGAUUUGGGCUACACACGUGCUACAAUGGACAAUACAAAGGGCAGCGAAACCGCGAGGUCAAGCAAAUCCCAUAAAGUUGUUCUCAGUUCGGAUUGUAGUCUGCAACUCGACUACAUGAAGCUGGAAUCGCUAGUAAUCGUAGAUCAGCAUGCUACGGUGAAUACGUUCCCGGGUCUUGUACACACCGCCCGUCACACCACGAGAGUUUGUAACACCCGAAGCCGGUGGAGUAACCUUUUAGGAGCUAGCCGUCGAAGGUGGGACAAAUGAUUGGGGUGAAGUCGUAACAAGGUAGCCGUAUCGGAAGGUGCGGCUGGAUCACCUCCUUU